rfam:Ipomoea nil DNA, scaffold: scaffold2283, cultivar: Tokyo-kokei standard.
GUGGGCGUGCUGGAGUGGGUAUCGAGCAUGACUAGAAAUCAUGAGGGUUUUGCCCGCACAGGUUCGAAUCAUGUUGCUCAUG